UGGUGGAGUGAUUUGUCUGGUUAAUUCCGUUAACGAACGAGACCUCGACCUGCUAAAUAGUUCGGAGAAUUCUUCGAAUUCUUACGUGACUUCUUAGAGGGACUAUUGGUGGUUAGCCAAUGGAAGUUCGAGGCAAUAACA
rnacentral:rRNA from 1 species